rnacentral:rRNA from 1 species
GGCUUAGAGUUUGAUCAUGGCUCAGGACGAACGCUGGCGGCGCGCCUAACACAUGCAAGUCGAACGGGGUUGAGAGGAGCUUGCUUUUCUUGACUUAGUGGCGAACGGGUGAGUAACGCGUGAGGAACCUGCCUCAAAGAGGGGGACAACAGUUGGAAACGACUGCUAAUACCGCAUAAGCCCACGGGGCCGCAUGGCUCUGAGGGAAAAGGAGCAAUCCGCUUUGAGAUGGCCUCGCGUCCGAUUAGCUGGUUGGUGAGGUAACGGCCCACCAAGGCGACGAUCGGUAGCCGGACUGAGAGGUUGAACGGCCACAUUGGGACUGAGACACGGCCCAGACUCCUACGGGAGGCAGCAGUGGGGAGUAUUGCACAAUGGGGGAAACCCUGAUGCAGCGACGCCGCGUGGAGGAAGAAGGUCUUCGGAUUGUAAACUCCUGUUGUUGGGGAAAAGAAGGAUGGUACCCAACAAGGAAGUGACGGCUAACUACGUGCCAGCAGCCGCGGUAAAACGUAGGUCACGAGCGUUGUCCGGAAUUACUGGGUGUAAAGGGAGCGCAGGCGGGUAUGCAAGUUGGGAGUGAAAUACAUGGGCUCAACCCAUGAACUGCUCUCAAAACUGUGUAUCUUGAGUAGUGCAGAGGUAGGCG